UACACUCCUACGGGAGGCAGCAGUGGGGAAUUUUGGACAAUGGGCGAAAGCCUGAUCCAGCAAUGCCGCGUGAGUGAAGAAGGCCUUCGGGUUGUAAAGCUCUUUUGUCAGGGAAGAAACGGUGAAAGCUAAUAUCUUUUGCUAAUGACGGUACCUGAAGAAUAAGCACCGGCUAACUACGUGCCAGCAGCCGCGGUAAUACGUAGGGUGCAAGCGUUAAUCGGAAUUACUGGGCGUAAAGCGUGCGCAGGCGGUUUUGUAAGUCUGAUGUGAAAUCCCCGGGCUCAACCUGGGAAUUGCAUUGGAGACUGCAAGGCUAGAAUCUGGCUGAGGGGGGUAGAAUUCCACGUGUAGCAGUGAAAUGCGUAGAUAUGUGGAGGAACACCGAUGGCGAAGGCAGCCCCCUGGGUCAAGAUUGACGCUCAUGCACGAAAGCGUGGGGAGCAAACAGGAUUAGAAACCCCGGUAGUCCCAU
rnacentral:rRNA from 1 species